CCCAGAUCCUGGACCCCGGACCUCGGGCCCCGGAUCCUGGACCCUGGACCCCGGCGCUAUAAUCAAGCACAGGACACAAGCCUGAAAAGUCUGACAUAAAGUGAAGUGAGGCGGAUCAGAUGAAGCAACGACGUCUCAUCACAAAAACUCAAUUACAACACAAACCAAUCAGAGUUCAGGAGAUCCAGUUUAGCAUGAAGUGAUCCGGUCUGAGCAGAACCAGAGACCCAAACCCUGCAGAGACCUGGAAGAGGACCGCCGCGCUCAUCAUGUGACCUUUCACAUGAUCAAUAAGUUAAACAGCAGCUGGAUUUACCUGCUGCUCUGAAGAGCUGAGACAACCGCAGAGAUGAGGAAGAGGAAGAGGAAGAGGAGAGGGAGGAAGAGAAAUGUCUAAAUCUGUUCUCACAGCUACAUGAACACAACACCUGAAGAAGAAAUCCCAUCAUGUCAGCGACAGGAAGCAUUCAUGACAUCACUUCUCAUGUCAGCUUAACACUCAGACGCCAACUGUGAUGUCACUCCGCCGCCUGAAAAGCUUCUUCAGUUUGUGUCCAAACUCAAACCAGCAGAAAAAAAAAGCUGAAUCUCCAUCAGGAGGCUGGACUCAGUGUCUGAAUAUUACACAUCAAAUCUCUUUUAAAGGCAGUUUCUGAGAAUAUUUAAAGCUACAAUAAUCAAUAUUAUUCUGUAAUUACAGCUGAUUGAUUGUGUGUCGCCUCCCCUUCAGCUCUAUGGCGCGUUUUAGUCUCUUUUAGCUCAUUGUUUUGGUUUUCAGAAGCAGAAGAAGAAGAAAACUUUCCAAAUAUGUUCUCUACAAAUCAUUUCAAUCACUUGUUUAGCUUCUCAUCUGUGCACCAGAACGUCAACACUGUGUUCACCAGUGACUGCAGGUUGAAAGUGUUCACCUGAGCUGUAAACAGGCUUCACGCAAGAACAUGUGGGAAGUAUUUCCCCGUCAGGAAGAAGGUUUAGAGAACGCUGCUCACUCGUCUGUUCCUCUUAUGUUCGGUUUGAUACAGCUGUAAAAGUUGUUUGAAUGUUAAUAAAUGUGUUCUUUGUUGUUUUCUUUUGAGUGUACAAUUGUUUAGGUUUAAUUAAUAUGUGAAGUAGACUGUAAGUGGGCUGUGACAGUCUCACUUGUUGUUGCUGGUUUUGGUCACUGGGAGGCAGCGUUGAGCAAUAUUAUUGUCGUGUUAAAUCUCGGUCUUUCUUCCUGUUUACAUGUGAACAACCUGGAGAUUUACAGAGUGGAUGGUGUUGUGACUCCAUCGUGUAAAACAGCCGCUGAAACUGAAGCUUCUCAUCGAGCGUGAGAGUCGAACGCAGCUGCAAACGGAGCUGACUAACAUCUGAAUCUGUGGAACAGUUCAUCACCGUCUCACCGUGUGACCAGAGUCCGUGUUAUUUGUUCUUGCUACAGCGUGACGGGACGUAGCGUAUCACACAAUAAAUACUGAUCACAAAAUUCAUCAGUUAUUGAGAACAAAAGCUGUUGUUAAACUGGAUUGUUUUGGUGGAAACAGACCCACAGCUCCUCCCAGAGGUCAAAGGUCAUACAGAUAGCGAUCAGGACGGGAUCAGGGUUUCAUUGUUGAUUUAAUCUGUUCAUCAUUUUCUCCAUUUCUUUUGUUGUUUGUUCUGUAAAAUGUGGAUCAGUGUUUCCCAAAA